UGACGGGAUCCUGGCGGGAGCUGUGCCAGGGCGUGAAGAUCUCCUUGCGGAAGUAGAGGCGCCAGGGCGCGUGGCGCUCGUGCGUGCCGCGCUCCUUCACCAGCUGCUCGCACUGCGAGAUGGCGUCCAGCACGUGCUCCCGGCCCCCGCCCAGCGACCACACCUGCCACACAGGGACACCGCAUUUACUGCCAGCCUGCCUGAAGGACAGUUCACACACUGCUCCUGUCUCCUGACUGCAAGGAAAACUCCAAAAGGGAGGCAAGUUGUAUGGGGAAUCCCCUGUACUCCAGCUCUCCUUGGGUGCAGCCAAGUACAACUAGAAAAUGUUACACAGAAACUGAGAGCCUUUUCUCAUUACAAACUUUACCAAAGGAUGUUUACCUGUCCGUAGCCAGGUGUUCUGGACAGCAGAAAGCCACACUGGGAUGAAGACAGAGGAAGAAAGGACAGGAUCAGAAAACAAUGUCAGGAGAAUAGACAGAUAACAGGUGCAGGAUGGCAGCCAGCAGCUUGCUGAUGUCCCAGUGCUCAGAGUCUGAGAACAUGAGGAUCUUCAUCGCCGAGCGGAUGUGGGCAUAGUCCUUGGCAUCGUUCCGGCUGUCGCAGGACGUGCAGUUACCCUGCAAGCACCACACCAGCAGGUUCACUGUAUAAAGGGACCCUGCUGUAAC